AACGAGCGCUGGCGGCAUGCCUAACACAUGCAAGUCGAACGAGACCUUCGGGUCUAGUGGCGCACGGGUGCGUAACGCGUGGGAAUCUGCCCUUGGGUUCGGAAUAACAGUGAGGAAUUACUGCUAAUACCGGAUGAUGUCUUCGGACCAAAGAUUUAUCGCCCAGGGAUGAGCCCGCGUAGGAUUAGGUAGUUGGUGGGGUAAUGGCCUACCAAGCCGACGAUCCUUAGCUGGUCUGAGAGGAUGAUCAGCCACACUGGGACUGAGACACGGCCCAGACUCCUGCGGGAGGCAGCAGUGGGGAAUAUUGGACAAUGGGCGAAAGCCUGAUCCAGCAAUGCCGCGUGAGUGAUGAAGGCCUUAGGGUUGUAAAGCUCUUUUACCAGGGAUGAUAAUGACAGUACCUGGAGAAUAAGCUCCGGCUAACUCCGUGCCAGCCGCCGCGGUAAGAC
rnacentral:rRNA from 1 species